AUAUAUAUAUAUAUAUAUAUAUAUAUAUAAAUAAGUAUUCAUUACUAUAUACAAAAUAGUUACACUUUAUUUUCAAGCAUUAUUUUAUACUUUAUUUUUCAUAUAUUUUCUUUGAUAUUUUAUCUAAGUGUUCAUUUUAAUUUCUCAAUCCCGUAAACAACCUGUUCUGUUGUGUCAUAUGUGAAAGCUAUGUGACCUCAGGUCUAGAUAUUCCCAGCAGCAAAAACAAACUGACAAUGGCUUGAAUUCUAACUUGAGAUCAGUGUCCCAAAAUCAACUUUUCAGUUUUUCCAGUUGAUUUUAAAAUUCCUAGUCUACACUAAAUUCCAAUGCACAAAUUUACAUAUGCAGAUGUUAUCAUUGGGCCCAUAUAGAGAGACAGGGAAAUAAAUUCCUUCAUUCCCAAUGUUCUAAACCGGUUCUAGAACUACUCCCCAAUCAUUCCAGAAUGGAUUGUACAUCCUGUAUUCCAGAAGGUUGUUCCAGACUGUAGUGUGAACACUAUUCUAUUCCAGUUGCCAAGUGUUGUAUUUUUCUUUUACAUGAUCAUUGCCAACAGCUCUCUACUGCCAAACAUUGACCAUACCAUGUGCCUAAGGGGAGAGAGACACUGUCAUAUGGUUUCAUCCAAGAGGCGGCAACCGUGUCAAGGGAAAACUGUCUUGUUGCGCCUCUGGUGUGUGUGUACGUGUGUGUGUGUGUGUGUGUGUGUGUGUGUGUGUGACAGAGUGUUGACGGUUGGAUUUGUUUUUGUGCAUGCUUUUACCUUUAAGGGCGUGUGUGUGUUAAGAUUACACGACAACCUUUCAUUGCCUUCGCGUUGUAGACCACAGCAUUCCAGUACAGUCAGUGAGUGUAUGUCGCUUCUUAGCCGAGUUGUUUGCAGUUUCUGAUCUUAUAGUGUUAUUAUUCCAAUCUGUUACAGUGCUAUAGUGUUAUAACAUGGCUGAUUUAUCAAACGACACCCUGUUUUUGUUGUGCACUUUAUAGGGAAUCGGGUGUCUUUUGACAGGAGCCCUAUAUUGUGCCAGGUCACCAGGAGUGCCUCCCAAAUGACACGCUGCCCAUGUAGUGCACUAGUUUUUACUGGAUCCGAUCUGUGUCAUAGAGCUAGGGUAGAGUGCCAUUUGGGUGGCAGAUAGUGUCAUAAUUGGGCUCUGCCCAUUGUUUCUGUAGAGCAAGAGACUGUCAGGUGUCUGCCACAUCGAGGGGCCAUUUGUGAUACCAUGCCUUCAGAGCUAGAGUGCUGUGGUGUCAAAAGGUGUGUCACCUGGCAAGAUGGGACUCGUUUCGGCCUCCGUUUGGUCAGAUCCUAAAACAUAACCAUCAUUUUGUUCUGUGAUGAUGGUCCCCGACCACACACACUCAACCCCACUUGACUGUUGCCAUAACAACCCCUGAUACGGGUGUGGCAAAGUGCACUUUGUACUUGUGCCUGGCAUGAAGCUCCUCUGAGUAAGAGUACAGGUUUAGGACCAGUUUUGCCUUCUCGAUAAUAGUGAAUGAUAUUAUAUGGACAGAUCCUAGAACAGUACUCAUACUCUAAGGCCUUUGUACAUACAGCCCCGGAAUUCACAACGGAGGGAGGUGGAGUGAUAGAGUGGCAUGUGGGGCAGUGAAGGCAGUGUUUCUGAGCGUUUGCCAUUCAGAACAAAUCCCGCAUUCCGGAGUCUCUCUCACAGGUUUUUCCUGUAGUUAAAGACCUUGGCUCCGGAGCGUUCUGGCAAAGUGUCAGAGGGCGAGAUACAGACCAGAGUUCCCCCAUGUCGGGAUCUGUCAAAACACUCAUAAACCUGUCCUCUCCCCACCGAGACCGAAAUUGCCACGGUUACAGAUUAAAUACACAGUUGAACAGACAGUAUUGCAUGGCGAGGAAGGCAGGAGUACAGUACAAUUGUGUGUGUGUGAGUUGAGGGGUACUAUUUCAAUAUACUGUGUACAGUGAAUGUAUUGUAAUGUGUCUUGUCAAGUGCUUUUAAAUUAUAUUUUCGUAUGUUACGUGGAAAACAAGGUUUCCUAUUUGUACAGAGGUAACAGCAGUUAUGAGGGAGACUGGUAUACUAUGUCAAACUGUCUUUAUAUAUAAGAAGCUGCUUCAUAAAUGUAAACAUGAUUACAUUUUGAAAAACAAAUAAAAGAAUA
ensembl:lncRNA